rnacentral:rRNA from 1 species
CCUACGGGAGGCAGCAGUGAGGAAUAUUGGUCAAUGGACGAGAGUCUGAACCAGCCAAGUAGCGUGAAGGAUGACUGCCCUAUGGGUUGUAAACUUCUUUUAUAUGGGAAUAAAAUGUUCCACGUGUGGGAUUUUGUAUGUACCAUAUGAAUAAGGAUCGGCUAACUCCGUGCCAGCAGCCGCGGUAAUACGGAGGAUCCGAGCGUUAUCCGGAUUUAUUGGGUUUAAAGGGAGCGUAGGUGGAUUGUUAAGUCAGUUGUGAAAGUUUGCGGCUCAACCGUAAAAUUGCAGUUGAAACUGGCAGUCUUGAGUACAGUAGAGGUGGGCUGAAUUCGUGGUGUAGCGGUGAAAUGCUUAGAUAUCACGAAGAACUCCGAUUGCGAAGGCAGUUCACUGGACUGCAACUGACACUGAGGCUCGAAAGUGUGGGUAUCAAACAGGAUUAGAUACCCUAGUC